CCUACGGGAGGCUGCAGUGAGGAAUAUUGGUCAAUGGGCGCAAGGCUGAACCAGCCAAGUAGCGUGAAGGAAGACGGCCCUAUGGGUUGUAAACUUCUUUUAUAAGGGAAUAAAGGGAGGCACGUGGGGCUAGUAGUAUGUACCAUAUGAAUAAGGAUAGGCGAACUCCGAGCCAGCAGCCGCGGUAAUACGGAGGAUGCGAGCGUUAUCCGGAGUUAUUGGGUUUAAAGGGUGCGUAGGUGGAUUUUUAAGUCAGCUGUGACAGUUUGCGGCUCAACCGUAAAAUUGCCUUUGAAACUGGCCGCCUUGAGUGCAGUUGAGGUAGGCGGAAUUCGUGGUGUAGCGGUGAAAUGCUUAGAUCUCACGCAGAACUCCGAUUGCGAAGGCAGCUUACUAAGCUGCCACUGACAUUGCUGCUCGAAAGUGUGGGUAUCAAACAGGAUUAGAUACCCCUGUAGUC
rnacentral:rRNA from 1 species